rnacentral:rRNA from 1 species
AUUGAACGCUGGCGGCAGGCCUAACGCAUGCAAGUCGAACGGUAACAGGAAACAGCUUGCUGUUUCGCUGACGAGUGGCGGACGGGUGAGUAAUGUCUGGGAAACUGCCUGAUGGAGGGGGAUAACUACUGGAAACGGUAGCUAAUACCGCAUAACGUCGCAAGACCAAAGAGGGGGACCUUCGGGCCUCUUGCCAUCGGAUGUGCCCAGAUGGGAUUAGCUAGUAGGUGGGGUAACGGCUCACCUAGGCGACGAUCCCUAGCUGGUCUGAGAGGAUGACCAGCCACACUGGAACUGAGACACGGUCCAGACUCCUACGGGAGGCAGCAGUGGGGAAUAUUGCACAAUGGGCGCAAGCCUGAUGCAGCCAUGCCGCGUGUAUGAAGAAGGCCUUCGGGUUGUAAAGUACUUUCAGCGGGGAUGAAGGGAGUAAAGUUAAUACCUUUGCUCAUUGACGUUACCCGCAGAAGAAGCACCGGCUAACUCCGUG